rnacentral:rRNA from 1 species
AACGAACGCUGGCGGCAUGCCUAACACAUGCCAGUCGAACGGAAAGGCCCUGCUUUUGUGGGGUGCUCGAGUGGCGAACGGGUGAGUAACACGUGAGUAACCUGCCCUUGACUUUGGGAUAACUUCAGGAAACUGGGGCUAAUACCGGAUAGGAGCUCCUGCUGCAUGGUGGGGGUUGGAAAGUUUCGGCGGUUGGGGAUGGACUCGCGGCUUAUCAGCUUGUUGGUGGGGUAGUGGCUUACCAAGGCUUUGACGGGUAGCCGGCCUGAGAGGGUGACCGGCCACAUUGGGACUGAGAUACGGCCCAGACUCCUACGGGAGGCAGCAGUGGGGAAUAUUGCACAAUGGGCGGAAGCCUGAUGCAGCAACGCCGCGUGCGGGAUGACGGCCUUCGGGUUGUAAACCGCUUUCGCCUGUGACGAAGCGUGAGUGACGGUAAUGGGUAAAGAAGCACCGGCUAACUACGUG